UACGAAGGGGGCUAGCGUUGCUCGGAAUCACUGGGCGUAAAGCGCACGUAGGCGGCUUCUUAAGUCAGGGGUGAAAUCCUGGAGCUCAACUCCAGAACUGCCUUCGAUACUGAGAGUCUCGAGUCCGAGAGAGGUGAGUGGAACUGCGAGUGUAGAGGUGAAAUUCGUAGAUAUCAGGAAGAACACCCGUAGCUAAGGCGGCUCUCUAGUACGGUACUGACGCUGAGACGCGAAAGCGUGGGGAGCCGAACGAGG
rnacentral:rRNA from 1 species